rnacentral:lncRNA from 1 species
CCACGGAAGAGGUCCUGAGUUCAAUCUCUGGUACCUCUUGAGGAAAAAAAACAGUGGUGGCGGGGUGACGUCAUCAACCAGCGCCGGAAGCCAUACCCUGAAAACACCUCCGCGAUCCUCAGGAGGAUGGUAGAGACUGGAGAGGGGCUCCACAAACGAAGAAUUGAAGAAAGAGAAAAGUAUCAGAUCAUCAUCAUUAGAAGUUGCAAAAGACCCCACCUCUUCAUUCCGUGGUUUAAUCCUCUUCGCAGCUUUGUUUUCCUUCUACUUAUCUGGUUGUGAGUGAAAAUCCAGAGGAAGAUAG